rnacentral:lncRNA from 1 species
AAUUAAUUGUGAAAAUGAAAAGAAAAAAGGCAAAAAAUACAGAAUGUCCAGAGGUGGAGAGUACAAAAUCCAGAAAUAACAGCAAGUCGCUCUUCGUAAGAGCAGAGAUGAGGAUGCAUUCUGGGCUUUUGAGAUUCAAACCUGACAAUCUGUUCAUAAAACAUAGCCGGGAUCAAUUCCAUCCAAAUCUGCAGAAGUUCUGAGCUCACUUUCUACCAUUUUCCUGUUGAUGACAAACUGAAAUCAGCAUUUAGCAUAAGUUUCAAGACAGCCCAUUGGAACCCAUUUAUGCAUUUCAAUAGAAGAGCUAGGAAGCCACAGCUUUUAAUACCUAUCACGAUUACAAGAACAUUGAUGGUUAGAUUAUUUUAUCCGAUAUUCCAGGAAACUGUAAGAGUUGACAAUAGUUUUAUCACAAAUCAUACAGAACGACAAUUCGUAUAAUGGAAAAUUUAAACAAAAAGAAAAAAGUUGAACAACAGAGGAGUUUAGAGAACUAAAAAUGAAAAAUUCCCCAAAAACUUAAAAAUUGUUAUGAUAUUAGAAAACAACAGAAAUGAAUUGAAAGCAAUCCUCACAUUUGUUGGAGUACUGUGAAGUCUUGUUUAAUUGCGUAUAACAACGCGGGGGAUAUGAGAAAUGAUAGGCCAGUAGUCUCCCCCUUUUUCUUUUAAGCAACGAUCCCGAAGCAGAGGGCAGUUGUCAAUACAUAGGCAUUCAAGUGUAGC